AACGAACGCUGGCGGCAUGCCUAACACAUGCAAGUCGAACGAGACCUUCGGGUCUAGUGGCGCACGGGUGCGUAACGCGUGGGAACCUGCCCUUAGGUUCGGAAUAACUCCCCGAAAGGGGUGCUAAUACCGGAUAAUGUCUUCGGACCAAAGAUUUAUCGCCUUUGGAUGGGCCCGCGUUGGAUUAGCCAGUUGGUAGGGUAAUAGCCUACCAAGGCGACGAUCCAUAGCUGGUCUGAGAGGAUGAUCAGCCACACUGGGACUGAGACACGGCCCAGACUCCUACGGGAGGCAGCAGUGGGGAAUAUAGGACAAUGGGCGAAAGCCUGAUCCAGCAAUGCCGCGUGAGUGAUGAAGGCCGUAGGGUUGUAAAGCUCUUUUACCCGGGAUGAUAAUGACAGUACCGGGAGAAUAAGCUCCGGCUAACUCCGUG
rnacentral:rRNA from 1 species